rnacentral:lncRNA from 1 species
UCUGGAAUCCCAGGAUCAUCUAAAAAAAAAAAGUUCUUAAAGAGGUAAAGAAUUUACGCGUUGGGAGGAGGCGGAAGAAGAAGAGGAAAAGGGAGAAAUCCCCGUGCGUGUGUUGUUAAUAUUUCCUUUUCCCGCGGCGCUCCUCGCCCUUCCGGAGCGGAAAGAGUUAAGCGUUUCCGCAUGCAAAUGAGGCCGGAGUUGGCAGCCACGUGUGUCGCUCGCGAGGGGGAGGAAAGCGAACGCCGAUGGCUCGCUGCGCGCUCGGCUUCUGCAGGCGCCCGCUGGGACCAAGAGCGGCCGGGCAGCGGAGUGGCGGGGAAGGGCCGCGGGUUCCUCGCUUGUUCCCAUAGCGUGGAAGGCUGGAUUUUAAUUUUUUCCCCAAAUUAACCCCCGCUGCCCUUCCUCCCUCCCCCGGCAACAAGGCCUCUUCCUUGGAGCUUUGUUCCUUUUGUUAUCCAAGACAGGCACCCAAUCGUAAGGGUUGCACAGGGUCUCUACCCCAGCCAGUUCGUGGACGAAAUCUACGAUGAUGCCUAACUGGCGGCGUUCACACGUGCGUGGUGUUCUUGACUCCGCGACUGCAACAGGCACGUGGGGACGCGCUCUCAGCACCUCUCUAUGUCAGGAGGUUCGAGUUCAAAGGGGGAAUCAAAUUUAGACGCUUGUCAAAAAAUUAUUUCCCCUUGUCUUUGUGCACGUCGAAACCAGGUGGGAUACAGCCACAGUUCAGAACCGCAAAGUUAAAACGAAGAAGAGAUGGGAUUCGGGGGGGGGGGGACAAACACAUCUAUUUGCCUUUUUUGUUAACUGAUACCGAUUUGGGCAUAUUUAAAGAGUUUAACGUGUUGGUGAGCCGGUGUAAUGUCUACCCCGUUUCCCUUCUCAUUGGCUGUGAAGUCGAACCCUGCCCACUUUGGGUGGGGGACUUUGGCUGGGCAGUCUGCGGACCAUAGUGGGAACCUGGAGUCUGCCACUUGUUCUUAUUUAGGAGCAAGUUUUUUGGGGGAAGGAUUGCUCCCAGGCUGUUACUGGUGGGGGAGCACAGUACAGAUGCACAAUUAGUGUUAUCGUUACUAUUACUAAUGAUAAUAUGGAAAAAUCAUGAUUAUGUCUUCAAUUUAUAUUCCUGUCUCUUCUUUUUCUCUUCUUUAGGAGAUGGCAGCCAUUUUGUGUUAGGUGACUUAUUUCCUUGAGUAGUGUAAAAAGUUGCUCCUGAUGCCUGGGGUAGACAGCAAACUGUUCUUAUGCCUUGAAGAAACCUCCAUUAUUAUCAUUUUUACCAUUAAGGGUGCAUGCCUUAGCUAGAAAUAUGCCAACUGAGGAGCCAUAAAAUGAUAGCUGUUAUGCCAACGUUGAAAUAUAUUCCACUCCCAGCACAAAUAGAGGAGUGCUGGGCCUGUCAAUAAGGAACCGUAGAAUUGGGGGGAAUUUUUCGGUGAAGGAUGAAAGAGAAAAGUUGUGUACCUCUAAUAGGGACAACCUUUUGUUGUUUUCUAACUAAACAGAAAUUCAAUGAAAGAAAAGUGAGGCACAAAUGAAAGUUAAAUUUAAACACUUAAAAAUACUUUUUUGGGGGAGGGGGUAAUUUAAUUCUUUAUUGACAAAGCACACAAUUGCACUAGCUCCUAUGGUGCACUGAACACACACACAUGCUUCUGGCAACUAAGUAGGUGGCAUCCCUUCUUCCUUUUUACUUAAAAAUACUUUUUAAUACAAAAGCUGAAAUCUUUAGAACAAAACGAACGACUCCAGGAAGAAGACAAUAGAGGGGGUGAGGGAUGACACUGCUGCGCAAUAAAACACAAAAGCCCAGAACAAACUGAGCAGUUAGAAAGGCCUUUGAUGAAGUUCUUUAUUUUGUUAGGUAAUUGUAGAAGCAGCACAUAAGAACAUUCACAAACACACAGGGUUGAGGAUGUGGGAAGGAGGAAAAGUGAGAGACUGUCAUAAUGACGGCUGUCAUUGUUUGGAUCCCUUGGCUAUUUUGGAAUACAUACAGAACUGCUUUCCAGACUGGCAUAUCUUGAACAUCUGAAGAACACUGCACUCCUUUGUUUGGUUUUGAAGGAACAACACGGUGUGGCCUAGAAUCCUGCAGUGAGGGGAUGUUUGUGUCUGUAACAUUUUCUUAUCACUUUUCAAUAACUGUGUUUCCCAAAAGCAGUUCCCAGUAAUAAUAACACCACAACAAUGAAGAAUAAUAGCUAUAAUCGGCAAUUAGAAAACAACAGCAACAAAGCAGAACGGCAGAUACAACAAUGGCAUACAGCCAAAGUUUGUCAGAUAAAAAUCAAACAAAAAAGACAAAACAAAAAUCAAUGGAUAUUUACUUGCCCUUAAGAAGAAAGAGACUGUACCUGCCAGCCUACCUUCAAGGGAACUGGAGGUUAGAGACCACUGCCAAAAAGGUCCUGUUCCUUGUCAGUGACAGACAAUUCCCUAACUGGUAGAACAUGAAGCAGGACCUGAUUAAAAGAUUUUAAUAUGCCAGGGCAACCGUAGGGAAAAAGAAAUAAAACGAAACAGAAACAUAAAUAAAAAAUAAAAAAAAUCCUUCCAGUAGCACCUUAGAGACCAACUAAGUUAGUUAUUGGUAGGAGC